ensembl:lincRNA
AUGCACCUUCGGGACGACAUCAAUCUCUGCUGCGCCGCCUCCCUCGCCAAGCUCAGGUGUAGCGGAACCAGAAGAGUCACAAAGCGGAGAACAGUCGCGAUGCCCUCACCGUCCGGAGCUGGCGCAGCUCUGCUGGUCUGCCUCGUCCUGAGCUUGACAGGGCUCGGAGAAGGGCGCGGGGACUCCAUUAAGGAAUGGGACAAGUUCAAGACAUAUUCUGUGGAGCUGAACGGGCUGGCGAGACAGAUGGCCAAAAUGCUCCCUGACAAGUCCCGGCUCAGUCAUCAGGAUGUCAAGGGCGGUGUCCUGUUGGUGGAGAGCGCAGACAGAUGCGACCCGCUGAGCCUGAAGUCUGAUCCCGAGCCCUGUCUGAGCAAGAUCGCCGGCGCUCUCCAGAACUACUCCAGGCUCUUUGGGGAUCGUGACCUGUUCAAGGACUCCCCUUGGAAAGAGUUGGCUCAGCAGGUGACCACAGUGAUAGAACACCUCCUUGGACUACUUGGGAAGCCGGUCUCCAGUGGGAGCCUGCUGGGGCAGGAGAGCAGGUGGAUGUUCUGGCAGCUGCAGCAGUACAGUGUGGAACGUCUGCUGUCCUUCUCCACCAUCGCAGCGCGCGUCUUCAGCCCCGGCGACCCCGCCACGCACGACGCCGGCUCUCAGGACAGCUGUCCCCCCAGCUAAAACCGCCGGCAAAGACAGACGAGUUCAGUAUUACACCCCCCAGGAGGAGCUGAGCAGCUCCAGCUUCCCCCGAAACCUGCUGCCCAACAGUGUUGUUAUUGUCAGGACUGCAGUUUACAAAGUGCAGUCUGUCUGGACAUUACAAUCCAUAGGCGGGGAGUCGCACCAUUGCAGUUUACUCUUGGCAAGUACUGCUUGUAGCAAAAUGGCCUAGUAGAGCAUAGUAAACUAUAGUGCAUCACUGUGAGUAAUAGUGCAGAAUUGUGACCUAUAGUACAGAACAGUAAACUAUAGUGCAUCAUAGUGAGUAAUAGUGCUGAAUAGUAAACUAUAGUUAAGAACAGUGGAUAAUAGUGCAGAAUAGUAAACUAUAUUACAGAACUUUAAAUUAUAGUGCAUCACAGUGAGUAAUAGUGCAGAAUGGUAAACUAUAGUACAGAACAGUGGAUAAUAGUGCAGAAUAGUAAACUAUAGUGCAUCACUGUGAGUAAAAGUGCAGAAUAGUAAUCUAUAACACAGGGCAGUCAACUAUAGUGCAUAAAAGUAAUAGUGUAUAUUACCAAUGCACAUUUUUUUGCCAUUUCGUAAAGCUUUCAGUCAGAUUAGUCUUCCUUUUAUUUAAAAAAAUAACAGUCAUUAACUUAUUUAUUUAUUUAUUUAUUUAUUAGCAGCAAUAAAUAGGACAGUAACUGCUGGUGAUAAGACUUGCUUAUAGCAAAGGAUGUUACAGCUAUCUGGAGAGCUACCCUGCACAUGGACUUGUAACAUUUACCCAGCCUGCAAAACACAUUGUAAACUUAAUUAACACCUUUCAUAUGCCAAAAAAAUUAAACCUCUGAGUUAAGGAGGUUAUACUGUAAGUUAGUUUUUUCCUGCAGACAUUUAAUCUCUGGAGGUAAUGUUAGUAUUUCUGAAUACAAUAAUCCUUUUUACAUUGUUUUCCCAAUUCCUACGUGUUUGCUUUGCUGGGGGUCACAUUAUACAGCUAUAGGGUUUGAGGUUUUUUAUAAAAUAUAUGUGGGCUAUUCUAUUUAUUUAUUAAAGUGCAUAUUUAUUGGUCUAUUUAUUAUGUUAUUUUUGUGGUUACCAUACAGCAUAUAUGGCAUGUUCAUUUUCUACAAUGUAUUUAUUCAGUGAUUUCUAGAAAAUAUUUAUUUAUAUUACAGCCUAAGCAUAUUUAUAUGGAAAACAUAAAUAAAAC